AUUGAACGCUGGCGGCAGGCCUAACACAUGCAAGUCGAACGAGUGGCGGACGGGUGAGUCAUGUCUGGGAAACUGCCCGAUGGAGGGGGAUAACUACUGGAAACGGUAGCUAAUAACGCAUACCAUCGGAUGUGCCCAGAUGUGAUUAGCUUGUAGGUGGGGUAACGGCUCACCUAGGCGACGCUCCCUAGCUGGUCUGAGAGGAUUACCAGCCAAACUGGAAGUGAGACACGGCGCGGACUCUGACGGGAGGCAGCAGUGGGGAAUAUGGCACAAGGGGCGCAAGCCUGAUGCAGCCAUGACGCGUGUAUGAAGAAGGCCUGCGGGUUGUAAAGUAAUUUCAGCGGGGAGGCGUUACCCGCAUAAGAAGCACCGGCUAACUCCGGGCCAGCAGCCGCGGUAAUAC
rnacentral:rRNA from 1 species